AACAGGAUUAGAUACCCUGGUAGUCCAUGCCGUAAACGAUGAGUGCUAGGUGUUGGAGGGUUUCCGCCCUUCAGUGCCGCAGCUAACGCAUUAAGCACUCCGCCUGGGGAGUACGACCGCAAGGUUGAAACUCAAAGGAAUUGACGGGGGCCCGCACAAGCGGUGGAGCAUGUGGUUUAAUUCGAAGCUACGCGAAGAACCUUACCAGGUCUUGACAUCUUGCGCUAACCUAAGAGAUUAGGCGUUCCCUUCGGGGACGCAAUGACAGGUGGUGCAUGGUCGUCGUCAGCUCGUGUCGUGAGGUGUUGGGUUAAGUCCCGCAACGAGCGCAACCCUUGUUACUAGUUGCCAGCAUUCAGUUGGGCACUCUAGUGGGACUGCCGGUGACAAGCCGGAGGAAGGUGGGGACGACGUCAGAUCAUCAUGCCCCUUAUGACCUGGGCUACACACGUGCUACAAUGGCCGGUACAACGAGCAGCUAACCCGCGAGGGUGUGCAAAUCUCUUAAAGCCGGUCUCAGUUCGGACUGCAGUCUGCAACUCGACUGCACGAAGUCGGAAUCGCUAGUAAUCGCGGAUCAGCAUGCCGCGGUGAAUACGUUCCCGGGCCUUGUACACACCGCCCGUCACACCAUGGAAGUUUGCAACGCCCAAAGUCGGUGGCCUAACCAUUUGGAGGGAGCCGCCUAAGGCGGGACAGAUGACUGGGGUGAAGUCGUAACAAGGUAACC
rnacentral:rRNA from 1 species